rnacentral:rRNA from 1 species
GAUGAACGCUAGCGGCAGGCUUAACACAUGCAAGUCGAGGGGCAGCAUGACACGGAGAUUCGUCGAAGUGUUGAUGGCGACCGGCGCAAGGGUGCGUAACGCGUGAGCAACUUGCCCGUUUCUGGGGAAUAACCGGUGGAAACGCCGACUAAUACCCCAUAGUAUAACGAAGAGGCAUCUUUUUGUUAUUAAAGAAAUUCGGUAACGGAUAGGGAUGCGUGACAUUAGAUAGUAGGCGGGGUAACGGCCCACCUAGUCUACGAUGUCUAGGGGUUCUGAGAGGAAGGUCCCCCACACUGGAACUGAGACACGGUCCAGACUCCUACGGGAGGCAGCAGUGAGGAAUAUUGGUCAAUGGGCGAGAGCCUGAACCAGCCAAGUAGCGUGAAGGAAGACUGCCCUAUGGGUUGUAAACUUCUUUUGUUCGGGAAUAAAGUGCAGUAUGUAUACUGUUUUGUAUGUACCGUUCGAAUAAGCAUCGGCUAAUUCCGUG